rnacentral:rRNA from 1 species
UGCGUAGGCGGGAUAGCAAGUCAGAGGUGAAAUCCUACAGCUCAACUGUAGAACUGCCUUUGAUACUGUUAUUCUUGAGUAUCGGAGAGGUCGCUGGAAUUCGUGGUGUAGCGGUGAAAUGCGUAGAUAUCGCGAGGAACACCAGAGGCGUAGGCGGGCGACUGGACGAUUACUGACGCUGAGGCACGAAAGCGUGGGGAGCAAACAGGAUUAGAUACCCUGGUAGUCC